GACGAACCGUGCGAACGUUAUUCGGAAUCAUUGGGCUUAAAGGGCGCGUAGGCGGUCGUAUAAGUCGAAUGUGAAAGCCCCUGGCUCAACUAGGGAGAGUCAUUCGAUACUGUUCGACUCGAAGGCAGGAGAGGGAAGUGGAAUUCCGGGUGUAGUGGUGAAAUGCGUAGAUAUCCGGAGGAACACCAGUGGCGAAGGCGACUUUCUGGCCUGUUCUUGACGCUGAGGCGCGAAAGCUAGGGGAGCAAACGGG
rnacentral:rRNA from 1 species